rnacentral:rRNA from 1 species
AUGGAUUAUCUUGGGAUGACUGAGAUACCAAAAAUGCAUAUAGUAAAAAGAUGGACAAAAGAGGCUCGUGACAUACUACCAGAACACCUGCAACACUACCAGCGAGAUAACAUUGGUGCGACCACAUUGACAUUCAGGCAUAACCAAAUGUAUGUUCAGGCGCUGGAGUUGGUGAGGCUAGGGGAUGCUAGUGUGAAAGCUUACGAAACACUGAUGGUUCUGUUCAAUCAAGCACUGGUCCUGAUGGCACCAUUUGAUAUGGCGAGAGAUGGCCUAGGACUUGAAGAUUGCGUGAACAGCAAUGGUCAGCGAAAUGGAGACGAGGUUAAGUUCAGUGCAUUGAAGAUCAGGAAGACAAGAUUUCUGGGCACGACAAUUCGCUUGUCGAGUUGGCGCCUCCCGGUAAGAAGAGAAAGGCAGGGAGGCCGACGAACGGUAGAGACAAAGCUCCGUACGAGGGGAUGA